CCCAUGCUGACUGUAAGACAGGAGGGAGAUGCUUCUCUGUAUCCCAUAGGGAUGUUUGUGUAUCCUCUCCUUAACAAAAUCUGAAGUGCAGGGUGUUCCACAACUUCCCAUACUGGUGUUUUAAUUGUUUAAACAUCGCUUUUGUUACUUUACCAAAUCUUGAAUUAAGUCUAUUCCUGUUAUACUUUCAGUGGGCAUGAACAUUUGAUUGAUGACCUUUACUGUAACAAAAUGGACUAUUGGUAUUUGGCCCUUCUCAGCCAUCACAUGAGCACUCUCCUUUUUCUUCUUUGCAUGAAGCAAAUCCAGUAUUUCACUUUGUUCUUGGGGGUAGAUUUCCUCACAGCAUCUUUGUUGCUUUUUGUGCUCUUUGCAGUUGGUUUGGAUCUGGUUUUAUUUUCUUAUGUGGCAUCUGAAAAUGGAUAUGAUAUUCCAGCUGAGGCUUCACCCACACUGAGCUGAGCAAGAUAAUUGGCAUGGGUGUAUGUAAAGUAGCCUUAGUAAAUAUGUCUGUGUAAUAGGCACAGUUGCUAGAGGUGAACUGAAGCAAAGUUAAAGCUGAAAAGCAUUUGAAGAAAGAAGAAAAGAGCAACAGAAAAGUUACAGGAUUCUGGUUUUGUCCAAAACAUCGAUGACAUGAAAAUACUAUUUAUGGAUGCAAGGUGUCCUCUUGGUCUUUCAUGCAGCUAUCAGAGCAUUGACGAGAGAGAAAAGAAAGGAGAAAACGAAAAAGAAAGAAAAAGAAGGAAGGAAAAAGUCCCCAAAUAGAAGAUGCUGAAUUUUCAGCUCCAUGCCCCUGUCUGUUGUCGCUUAUAGAAACAUGAGGAGGUAGCAGAUACAAGGCAGGAGUGUUUGACAGCAUGGAAGGCCGUGUGUUUGGAAUCACCAAAAAACCAUCUCCAGUGGUCAUACAGUUAAGACUAGGAGAUCCCAAGAAGGGCAGCCUUGGGUGGUUUGCUAAAGAGUAUUGCUGGAUCAGUUCCCUGCAGAACCAGAGGAGCAUCUCACUGCUGAGGUUCACUACAAGGAUCGCUGUUUAGUUCUCCCUCCAAGCAUUCUGUGAUGGGAGGAUUUGCUAAGCUUGUGUGUACUCCAGGGCCAGGUCAGGCUGUGUGUUAUUCACUCUCAUUAGUUCAUUCUCUUUAUGUUCUUGUGACCCAGAUGAAUUUAAGAGGGAUCUGAGCAGUGUGUUCAGUUUUCUUGUGUUUGUUUCUCAUACUUUUGCCUAUCUGAAUCCAGUUCUUUGCACCAUGAUGCAGUCUCUAAUUAGAAUUGAAACCAUACAAACUGCCUCCUCAAACUCUUGUCUCAUUCCAUGAAUGGUUUGUUUUCAGAUUCUGCUUUUAUCCUUGUUAUUUGAUGUUUGCUUACAUAUUUUAUUGCAUAUAAUUCAAGUGCUGUAGUAAAUACAGAAUUACUAAUGGUAAUAGAUUUUCAUUAUGCUUUUCAUUAUAGCAUUUGAAUACUUUUUAACCACCAUAAAUGUAUCUUCACAACAUUGCAAAGAGAUUUUCCUCUCGUUUCACUGAUGCAAAGCUGUCAAAGUUCUCCACUGCAUCUGUCUGUUCCACCGUGACAAUAAACAGAUUCCCAACUUG